rnacentral:snRNA from 1 species
GGAUGUGAGGGUGAUCUGGCUGUGACAUCUGUCACCCCAUUGAUCCCCAGGGUUGAUUCGGCUGAUCUGGCUGGCUAGGCGGGUGUCCCCUUCCUCCCUCACCACUCCAUGUGCAUCCCUCCCUGCGCGCUCGGUCGAAGAGGACGGCCUUCCCCGAAUAGAGAAGGAACGGUCUUCGGUUGAGGGUAUACGAGUAGCUGCGCUCCCCUGCUAGAACCUCCAAGCAAGCUCUCAAGGAAACCAGCCUUCUGUGCUAGAGUCAGAAGUAGCAGAGACCAGGGCCUCGAAGGCUGUGACACUUGCAUGAAGGAGGAGGUGC